rnacentral:ncRNA from 1 species
CGUGAGUCAUUAGCUCGCGUUGAUUACGUCCCUGCCCUUUGUACACACCGCCCGUCGCUACUACCGAUUGGAUGAUUUAGUGAGGUGUUUUGACUGGAGCCAGUAGUCGGAUAUGUAUUCGGCUUCGCGCCGGGAAAUUUCCCAAACCAAAUCAUCUAGAGGAAGUAAAAGUCGUAACAAGGUUUCCGUAGGUGAACCUGCGGAAGGAUCAUUA